rnacentral:rRNA from 1 species
GACAGAGGGUGCAAACGUUGUUCGGAAUUAUUGGGCGUAAAGAGCUCGUAGGCGGUUUGUCGCGUCUGCCGUGAAAGUCCGGGGCUCAACUCCGGAUCUGCGGUGGGUACGGGCAGACUAGAGUGAUGUAGGGGAGACUGGAAUUCCUGGUGUAGCGGUGAAAUGCGCAGAUAUCAGGAGGAACACCGAUGGCGAAGGCAGGUCUCUGGGCAUUAACUGACGCUGAGGAGCGAAAGCAUGGGGAGCGAACAGG